rnacentral:rRNA from 1 species
CGAAAGUUGGACUAAUACCUUAUAACGCAUUUUAUUCGCAUGGAUAGAUUGUUAAAGUGUGCAACUUGUUGCACAUACCUUGGGAUGGGCCUGCGUUCCAUUAGUUAGUUGGUGAGGUAACGGCUCACCAAGACAGCGAUGGAUAGCUGGUUUGAGAGAGUGAUCAGCCACACUGGGACUGAGAUACGGCCCAGACUCCUACGGGAGGCAGCAGUGAGGAAUAUUGCGCAAUGGACGAAAGUCUGACGCAGCAACGCCGCGUGGGGGAUGAAGCUUUAUGGAGUGUAAACCCCUGUAAGCAGGGGCGAAUGGCAAGCAUUCGAAUAGGGUGUUUGUUUGACGGUACCUGCAGAGUAAGCUCCGGCUAACUCCGUGCCAGCAGCCGCGGUAAUACGGGGGGAGCAAGCGUUGUCCGGAAUUACUGGGCGUAAAGGGCGUGCAGGCGGCUUGGUCAGUCAGAUGUGAAAGGUUCCGGCUUAACCGGAGAUGUGCAUUUGAUACUGCCAGGCUUGAGUUCGAGAGAGGGUAGCGGAAUUCCCAGUGUAGCGGUGAAAUGCGUAGAUAUUGGGAAGAACACCCAGUAGCGAAGGCGGCUACCUGGCUCGCAACUGACGCUGAGGCGCGAAAGCGUGGGGAGCAAACAGGAUUAGAUACCCUGGUAGUCCACGCUGUAAACGAUGAACACUAGGUGUUGGUCCCGUGUUCGGGAUCGGUGCCGCAGUUAACGCAUUAAGUGUUCCGCCUGGGGAGUACGAUCGCAAGGUUGAACUCAAAGGAAUUGACGGGGGCCCGCACAAGCGGUG